rnacentral:rRNA from 1 species
GGGACACGUGGUAUCCUGUCUGAAUAUGGGGGGACCAUCCUCCAAGGCUAAAUACUCCUGACUGACCGAUAGUGAACCAGUACCGUGAGGGAAAGGCGAAAAGAACCCCGGCGAGGGGAGUGAAAAAGAACCUGAAACCGUGUACGUACAAGCAGUGGGAGCACGCUUAGGCGUGUGACUGCGUACCUUUUGUAUAAUGGGUCAGCGACUUAUAUUCUGUAGCAAGGUUAACCGAAUAGGGGAGCCGAAGGGAAACCGAGUCUUAACUGGGCGUUAAGUUGCAGGGUAUAGACCCGAAACCCGGUGAUCUAGCCAUGGGCAGGUUGAAGGUUGGGUAACACUAACUGGAGGACCGAACCGACUAAUGUUGAAAAAUUAGCGGAUGACUUGUGGCUGGGGGUGAAAGGCCAAUCAAACCGGGAGAUAGCUGGUUCUCCCCGAAAGCUAUUUAGGUAGCGCCUCGUGAAUUCAUCUCCGGGGGUAGAGCACUGUUUCGGCAAGGGGGUCAUCCCGACUUACCAACCC